rnacentral:rRNA from 1 species
UACGGGGGGAGCAAGCGUUGUUCGGAUUUACUGGGCGUAAAGGGCGCGUAGGCGGUAGCACAAGUCAGUUGUGAAAUCUCCGGGCUUAACUCGGAAAGGUCAACUGAUACUGUGCGACUAGAGUGCAGAAGGGGCAACUGGAAUUCUCGGUGUAGCGGUGAAAUGCGUAGAUAUCGAGAGGAACACCUGAGGCGAAGGCGGGUUGCUGGGCUGACACUGACGCUGAGGCGCGAAAGCCAGGGGAGCGAACGGG